rnacentral:rRNA from 1 species
UACGUAGGGUGCGAGCGUUGUCCGGAAUUAUUGGGCGUAAAGAGCUCGUAGGUGGCGGGUCACGUCGGGUGUGAAAGCCCGGGGCUUAACUCCGGGUCUGCAUUCGAUACGGGUCUGCUGGGGUCCGGCAGGGGAGACUGAAAUUCCUGGUGUAGCGGUGAAAUGCGCAGAUAUCAGGAGGAACACCGGUGGCGAAGGCGGGUCUCUGGGCCGGUACCGACGCUGAGGAGCGAAAGCGUGGGGAGCGAACAGG